rnacentral:rRNA from 1 species
UACAGAGGUGGCAAGCGUUGUUCGGAAUUACUGGGCGUAAAGGGCUCGUAGGCGGCCAACUAAGUCAUACGUGAAAUCCCUCGGCUUAACUGGGGAACUGCGUCUGAUACUGGAUGGCUUGAGUUUGGGAGAGGGAUGCGGAAUUCCAGGUGUAGCGGUGAAAUGCGUAGAUAUCUGGAGGAACACCGGUGGCGAAGGCGGCAUCCUGGACCAACACUGACACUGAGGAGCGAAAGCCAGGGGAGCAAACGGG